rnacentral:rRNA from 1 species
CUACACAUGCAGCCGAGCGGUAGAGUCUCUUCGGAGACUUGAGAGCGGCGCACGGGUGCGGAACACGUGUGCAACCUGCCUUUAUCUGGGGGAUAGCCUUUCGAAAGGGAGAUUAAUACCCCAUAAUAUACUGGAUGGCAUCAUCUGGUAUUGAAAACUCCGGUGGAUAGAGAUGGGCACGCGCAAGAUUAGAUAGUUGGUGAGGUAACGGCUCACCAAGUCAGCGAUCUUUAGGGGGCCUGAGAGGGUGAUCCCCCACACUGGUACUGAGACACGGACCAGACUCCUACGGGAGGCAGCAGUGAGGAAUAUUGGACAAUGGGUGAGAGCCUGAUCCAGCCAUCCCGCGUGAAGGACGACGGCCCUAUGGGUUGUAAACUUCUUUUGUAUAGGGAUAAACCUAGAUACGUGUAUCUAGCUGAAGGUACUAUACGAAUAAGCACCGGCUAACUCCGUGCCAGCAGCCGCGGUAAUACGGAGGGUGCAAGCGUUAUCCGGAUUUAUUGGGUUUAAAGGGUCCGUAGGCUGAUUUGUAAGUCAGUGGUGAAAUCUCACAGCUU